GGGGAGCGGCGGACGGGUGAGUAACGCGUGGGAAUCUGCCCUUUGGUGUGGGACAACCACGGGAAACUGUGGCUAAUACCGCAUGAGCCCGAGAGGGGAAAGCCGCAAGGCGCCGAAGGAUGAGCCCGCGUCGGAUUAGCUAGUUGGUAGGGUAACGGCCUACCAAGGCGAUGAUCCGUAGCUGGUCUGAGAGGAUGAUCAGCCACACUGGGACUGAGACACGGCCCAGACUCCUACGGGAGGCAGCAGUGGGGAAUAUUGGACAAUGGGGGAAACCCUGAUCCAGCCAUGCCGCGUGAGUGAUGAAGGCCUUCGGGUUGUAAAGCUCUUUCGACGGGGACGAUGAUGACGGUACCCGUAGAAGAAGCCCCGGCUAACUUCGUGCCAGCAGCCGCGGUAAUACGAAGGGGGCUAGCGUUGUCCGGAAUUACUGGGCGUAAAGCGCGCGUAGGCGGUUACGCAAGUCGGGCGUGAAAGCCCAGGGCUCAACCCUGGAACUGCGUCCGAGA
rnacentral:rRNA from 1 species